rnacentral:rRNA from 1 species
UACGUAGGGUGCAAGCGUUGUCCGGAAUUAUUGGGCGUAAAGAGCUCGUAGGCGGCUUGUCACGUCGGGUGUGAAAGACCGGGGCUUAACCCCGGUUCUGCAUUCGAUACGGGCUAGCUAGAGUGUGGUAGGGGAGAUCGGAAUUCCUGGUGUAGCGGUGGAAUGCGCAGAUAUCAGGAGGAACACCAAUAGCGAAGGCAGCUCGCUGGGACGGUACUGACGCUAAGGCGCGAAAGCGUGGGAGCGAACAGG